rnacentral:rRNA from 1 species
UCCUACGGGAGGCAGCAGUGGGGAAUAUUGCACAAUGGGCGAAAGCCUGAUGCAGCCAUGCCGCGUGUGUGAAGAAGGCCUUAGGGUUGUAAAGCACUUUCAGCGAGGAGGAAAGCUUGUGAGUUAAUACCUCUCAAGUGUGACGUUACUCGCAGAAGAAGCACCGGCUAACUCCGUGCCAGCAGCCGCGGU